GAGUUUGAUCCUGGCUCAGAUUGAACGCUGGCGGCAGGCCUAACACAUGCAAGUCGAGCGGUAGAGAGAAGCUUGCUUCUCUUGAGAGCGGCGGACGGGUGAGUAAUGCCUAGGAAUCUGCCUGGUAGUGGGGGAUAACGCUCGGAAACGGACGCUAAUACCGCAUACGUCCUACGGGAGAAAGCAGGGGACCUUCGGGCCUUGCGCUAUCAGAUGAGCCUAGGUCGGAUUAGCUAGUUGGUGAGGUAAUGGCUCACCAAGGCGACGAUCCGUAACUGGUCUGAGAGGAUGAUCAGUCACACUGGAACUGAGACACGGUCCAGACUCUACGGGAGGCAGCAGUGGGGAAUAUUGGACAAUGGGCGAAAGCCUGAUCCAGCCAUGCCGCGUGUGUGAAGAAGGUCUUCGGAUUGUAAAGCACUUUAAGUUGGGAGGAAGGGCAGUAAAUUAAUACUUUGCUGUUUGACGUUACGACAGAAUAAGCACCGGCUAACUCUAGUGCCAGCAC
rnacentral:rRNA from 1 species